GGUAGCUGUUCUGAAUUCUGAUGAGCAAUGAAGAAAAUUUCAAAUCUGAAAAGUUUUCAAGACAAUGAGAUAUCUACAGGCAAGUAUCUUCAGUUUUAAUGAAGAUCAACUGUGACAAAGCUACAUGGAGUAAUGGAAGUACCAGAGAGAAAUCGCUUUUUGAAAACAGAAAGCUUUUUAAAAAGUCACAACAGAACUGGGAGAGCCACAAGAGCUAGAAAUCAAUUUUUAAAUUUGAUGGAUCCUUCAAAGAUUAAAGAGGCUAUGGAAAGCCUGUGGUAUAGGUGUGCUUUGAAGUGGAGAAUGUACCUGCAUGUCACUGAUGCAGAAAGUAAAACACUGCUGUAAGCCUGCAGAGUGCUUCUAUUUGUUAUGAGAACACCAGCUCCUUGGUGGAGACUUAAUGAAGCAGUAAAGCUGGAAGGUGGCUCCUGUGAGUGCUGUUUCACCCUCACAGGGACAGUCCUGCGGGCUGCUGGCAGCGUGCCCAGUGUGGAUGUAAUUGGCCUCAGACUCCACAUCUAAUCCCAACCCAGAGUUUCUCGAUUACAUCCUCAGGGACUGUCAGCAGCAUGAUAAUACUCAAGAGCUUUGUCCUGAAAGCUGGUGUCUUUUUUCUUUUGCUGAGGAAUGAGUGCAAUUUAGGAAGGCAAAGCAAAAUUAUCACGCCAGCUAGCUUUUAAAUGUGUUCAUGUGAGAGUGUUUAUUCAUAUCAUCUUCUUGGCACGUUAGAUGCACAGACUCUAUGUCUACUUUUUGUAGUUCCCAUGAGUAUUUCUCAGCUUCUAGAUUUGGAUGCACACUACUGCAAAAACUCAGAUCUGUAGAUUUUGGGGCAAUCAUCCCUCCAUUCAAUGGAAACAAGUGCCCAGUCCUUUGAAGGCAGCCAGGGCAUGCUCUGGUCCCCAUCUGUGGCUGAGAUGUGAUUGUCCAAUGAAAGGUGAUAUUUUACUUUUACACCAAGGCAAGUUAAAAUAUUUUUGAAAGCAAAACAGACCACAAUAAAAGAAAUAAUAAGACUAAAGUCUGUCCCAGCACUAUUGCUGAGUAGGAAGGCAAAAGAGUUGUUAUAGCAACAGAUGAAGGAGGUAUUUUAUAACAA